rnacentral:tRNA from 2 species
UGGGGUGUAGCCAAGCGGUAAGGCACCGGGUUUUGGUCCCGGCAUUCCUAGGUUCGAAUCCUAGCGCCCCAG